ensembl:lncRNA
AGAUAAGCUGGGCCACGAAGAAAUGAACACAUUUCCAAAGCUCCAGUCUUUCAAAGCCUUGACACCAGUGCCAAUUUGCAAAAGUUCUCUCAACGUCUGACAGAAUGAGUGAAGCAGCCUGAGUUAAAUACUGCUUAAUGGUCCCCCUAAAUAUCAUAAUGUACAGCAUGUCUUGUUUAAGGAUGUCUUGUUCCAUUCUCUGUCUCCAACUACAUGAACUUUCAGCUGCUUCUAGAACCUGCCUGUCAUUUUGACAAGCUGUUUUCACUACACAGGUUAAAAAGUGAAGGACAGCAAAGAACCUCGUGCAUAAGAUGCCAGGUGCGGACAUGCGGGGACUUCUUUUGCCCACAUGCUUUUCAGAAUAGCGUAAUUCACAGUGUGCGUAACCUGAGGAGUGGGCUGUGAAACAAGUGAAGGCUGCUCAUGCCAUGCUGAAAUGAGAGGAAGAUAUGCCAGAGAAGGUGUAAGUGGCUUGAUAAGAUGCAGUUUCUUCCUUAACGUGACAAACUGAAGAAGCUUUUUCUAGUCUAGCUCAUGCCUUCUCCAGUGUUCUCUGAGCAAGCAUCUGGCAACUCCAUACUUUCCUGAGCUUCCUAUCCCCCUGAAGGCAGUCUGCUGCACAGCCUCACUACAAGAAGGUCUGCUGGACAGAGGAGGAACAAGAUGCUGUUUCUCCUUCCUGCUGCUUCAGAUCAUUUCUCCCCGUCUUUCUCGGAUGUCAGUUCGAGGUGCUGUUGGUUCAGGCUGAACUGGACAGCAGGCUGAUUUUCUUGGCUUCAUUAAAACACCAAUCCCUUCCCUGCACGUCAGCCAGAUGCCAUCUUGGUACAUGAUCCUGCACUGCUGAGAGCAGAAAUUCAGAUUCUCUUCUCUUUGCACUAAAAUCACCAUUUCAUAAUACUAUUCUGGCUCUCUUGUUCUUUUGGUUUCUGCAUUUUCCACUGUGCUUGAAGCACAACGAUCAUUGUGGCAGUUACUCUGUAAUACUCUGACGGCUAAUUUCUGCUUUUCACAGAUCAGGAGCAGACAUCUAAAAUGAAAUGGUGAACUGUGAAAACAUUUUUUACCAAAGCUGAGAGGUUUUUCCGCAGUCAGUGAGCUUAGUCUGCAGCAAUCUCAAACACUAAAUAAUUGAUUCUGGAGGUUACUAAAGGCAGAAGAAAGUAGCUUCUCAAAUGCAGCUUCUUCAAAGGAAAUUACAUUCAAAUCGCAGAGAUCGUCUCUAAUUCAGCUAUCAUUUCCUCAAACGGAUCACCAUAUUGCUGUUAUGUUUCUCUCCAUCACAGUUAAAAGCAGGGGGGAGGGGGAGAAAAUCAUAUUCAGACGCUCUUCAAAAGAUAGGGAUAAAAGUUAAGUUUAAGUUGCAAACACACUCACUCAGAAUAUAAUAUGGUGUUGUUUGAAACUAUUUUGAAAUUGUUCCAAAGGUUCAAACUAAAAAACAGUAAAAAAAAAAACUGCUUUCAUUAUUGAAUAUUUUGUCCCACCUUUUCAAAAAAUGAAAAAUAUUUGAUCUGUAAAUAUACUUUUGUUAAAAAGCCUGAAAAUUACAGACUUGUAAGGGUGCUAUGAGAUGUAUAACUUCCUGAAGACUCAAAACACUUUCUGUUUAUAAUGGAACUUUGCAUGAUAUUUCAUCUAGAAUGCAGAAAAUAUUUUCCAAUCAUCCCGAAAAGAGGAGCAUCUUAAUCACAAAUCUCAUCCACCGGUCCCUUUCUGUUACCAAGCACGUAUAUUCCCAGCAGGACACACAUGCAUGUUAGCUAGCGCCUUAGCUGUGCAGAAUCACAGAAUCUCAGAAUGGUUUGGGUUGGAAGGGCCCUUUAAGAUCACCUCGUUCCAACCCCCUGCUAUAGGCAAGGACACCUCCCUCUAGACCAGGUUGCUCACAGCCCCAACCAGCCUGGCCUUGAAAGCCUCCAGGAAGUGGGCAUCUACAGCUCCUCUGGGCAACCCGUUCCAGUGUGUCAGCACCCACACAGUAAAGAAUUUCUUCCUAAUAUCUAGUCUGAAUCUACCCUCUCCCUGUUUAAAACCAUUUCCUCUAAUAAUAGAAGGUUCUGUGCUGCAAGGUCUGCCUUCAGUCAGCUGCAGAGCUGCCAUCUCCUCGGGACAAUACUUGCAAGGAGAGGGCGGUGAGCCACAACCUUAAGCUAGCUUCCCAGUACCAGGAACUUGCAUAGUAGCAAGAGGUCAUUGCUGAGGAUUCUGGAUGAAUAUAAAGGUCUGGAAAAAGAGAUUAUAUUUCUUUUUAUUUAAGCGCUCAGACUGGCCAUGUGCAUAAGGACCUACAGCUAUUUUGGCAAGUCACUGUGAAGUCCAAGUAGUGUACUACCUUAGUAAACCUGCAGCAAACCAUAUCAAACCAUUUCAUAAUUAUUUUCUAGAAUAAAAGUAAGUUUUAUUAUGUUGACUGCUAUUACAUAAAUAUUCUGAGGAUUUUUUUCUGUACUUUUAACAAAAUAAAGUCCUAAUCUUGGCAU